AGAGUUUGAUCAUGGCUCAGGACGAACGCUGGCGGCGCGCCUAAUACAUGCAAGUCGAACGGGCUGCCUUCGGGCAGCCAGUGGCGGACGGGUGAGUAACACGUGGGUGACCUGCCCUGAAGUGGGGAAUAACGCUGCGAAAGCAGCGCUAAUACCGCAUAUGCUUAGCGCUUCAGUGCGCUAAGUAGAGCCUUGUGCGCUUCAGGAGGGGCCUGCGGCCGAUUAGCUAGUCGGGGGGGUAACGGCCCACCGAGGCGACGAUCGGUAGCUGGUCUGAGAGGAUGAUCAGCCACACUGGGACUGAGACACGGCCCAGACUCCUACGGGAGGCAGCAGUAAGGAAUCUUCCACAAUGGGCGCAAGCCUGAUGGAGCGACGCCGCGUGCGCGAAGAAGCCCUUCGGGGUGUAAAGCGCUUUUCCCAGGGAUGAAGAUCUGACAGUACCUGGGGAAGAAGCCUCGGCUAACUACGUGCCAGCCGCCGCGGUAAUAC
rnacentral:rRNA from 1 species